GAUGAACGCUGGCGGCGUGCCUAAUACAUGCAAGUCGAGCGAACGGACGAGAAGCUUGCUUUUCUGAUGUUAGCGGCGGACGGGUGAGUAACACGUGGAUAACCUACCUAUAAGACUGGGAUAACUUCGGGAAACCGGAGCUAAUACCGGAUAAUAUUUUGAACCGCAUGGUUCAAAAGUGAAAGACGGUCUUGCUGUCACUUAUAGAUGGAUCCGCGCUGCAUUAGCUAGUUGGUAAGGUAACGGCUUACCAAGGCAACGAUGCAUAGCCGACCUGUGAGGUUCACCGGCCUCACUGGAACCACAGCGCGGCCCAAACUCCUACGGGACCAAGCAGUAGGGAUCCUCCGCAAAUGGGCGAACGCUGCCGGAGCAACGCCGCGUGAGUGAUGAAGGUCUUCGGAUCGUAAAACUCUGUUAUUAGGGAAGAACAUAUGUGUAAGUAACUGUGCACAUCUUGACGGUACCUAAUCAGAAAGCCACGGCUAACUACGUG
rnacentral:rRNA from 1 species